CAUGAGGGAACCAAUAGGUGAAGGUAAAGGAAGACUGACGUAACACAAAAGGUCCAAUGAGAAGCACAUGGGGGAGGGAGGAAGCCUUGAGGACAAAUCAGGAGCUAGACUGGGGAUGAGUGACAUAGAAGUCUCUCGAAAAAAAGAGGGGGGGUUAACAUGACAGACAGGGGCAGGAGGCAGCACCAUGGGGAUUGAUGUAACCAUAUAAGGGCUUAAGGGGAGGAACAAGGGACUCCUCACUUUGAUGGGCAGGCCAGUGGCGGGAAAAACGGGGAAAAACAACUUUGGAACAAACCAUUAUAGGGGGUUUACAUGGGGGGGAAAAGGAACAAACCAUUACUUAAACUAACAAAGAAUAAUUAAUAACAACUUCAACUUAUACUUUUUAAAACACUCAACGCCACAGAUAAUGUACAGAAAUAAAUCAUCAAUGUGUUACCUGUAUUGAGUAGAAAUGACAAGGGUUUGGCUGCUGUGAGGGGAGUAUAGGGCUGCCUGGUACUGAACAGAGCCAUUUCCAGCCUUCUCCGACAGAUCCACUUCAGGGCACAAUGUCAAACCACAAUGCUCGUAGAUAAACUGACAGUGUGAGCAGGUCUCAGGAAUGGAUGCACAAGUGCAAUGAGUCAUAAGGCAGCGAAGUGGCAGAUAUUCAUAAGGCCAAGAUCAAGUGCGGCUUUUCAGUAGAAUAAAGGAAAUGGACCUAACUAAAAUGAGCAGCAUAAGCAGUGCUCUGAGGGAAAAAUGUGGACUACAGGUGGAGAAUCCUGUACUUGCUCGUGGUAAAUUUCAUGCAGCUGGCAAUCACC